rnacentral:rRNA from 1 species
UCGGACGAACGCUGGCGGCGUGCCUAAUACAUGCAAGUCGAACGAACUCUGGUAUUGAUUGGUGCUUGCAUCAUGAUUUACAUUUGAGUGAGUGGCGAACUGGUGAGUAACACGUGGGAAACCUGCCCAGAAGCGGGGGAUAACACCUGGAAACAGAUGCUAAUACCGCAUAACAACUUGGACCGCAUGGUCCGAGUUUGAAAGAUGGCUUCGGCUAUCACUUUUGGAUGGUCCCGCGGCGUAUUAGCUAGAUGGUGGGGUAACGGCUCACCAUGGCAAUGAUACGUAGCCGACCUGAGAGGGUAAUCGGCCACAUUGGGACUGAGACACGGCCCAAACUCCUACGGGAGGCAGCAGUAGGGAAUCUUCCACAAUGGACGAAAGUCUGAUGGAGCAACGCCGCGUGAGUGAAGAAGGGUUUCGGCUCGUAAAACUCUGUUGUUAAAGAAGAACAUAUCUGAGAGUAACUGUUCAGGUAUUGACGGUAUUUAACCAGAAAGCCACGGCUAACUACGUGCCAGCAGCCGCGGUAAUACGUAGGUGGCAAGCGUUGUCCGGAUUUAUUGGGCGUAAAGCGAGCGCAGGCGGUUUUUUAAGUCUGAUGUGAAAGCCUUCGGCUCAACCGAAGAAGUGCAUCGGAAACUGGGAAACUUGAGUGCAGAAGAGGACAGUGGAACUCCAUGUGUAGCGGUGAAAUGCGUAGAUAUAUGGAAGAACACCAGUGGCGAAGGCGGCUGUCUGGUCUGUAACUGACGCUGAGGCUCGAAAGUAUGGGUAGCAAACAGGAUUAGAUACCCUGGUAGUCCAUACCGUAAACGAUGAAUGCUAAGUGUUGGAGGGUUUCCGCCCUUCAGUGCUGCAGCUAACGCAUUAAGCAUUCCGCCUGGGGAGUACGGCCGCAAGGCUGAAACUCAAAGGAAUUGACGGGGGCCCGCACAAGCGGUGGAGCAUGUGGUUUAAUUCGAAGCUACGCGAAGAACCUUACCAGGUCUUGACAUACUAUGCAAAUCUAAGAGAUUAGACGUUCCCUUCGGGGACAUGGAUACAGGUGGUGCAUGGUUGUCGUCAGCUCGUGUCGUGAGAUGUUGGGUUAAGUCCCGCAACGAGCGCAACCCUUAUUAUCAGUUGCCAGCAUUAAGUUGGGCACUCUGGUGAGACUGCCGGUGACAAACCGGAGGAAGGUGGGGAUGACGUCAAAUCAUCAUGCCCCUUAUGACCUGGGCUACACACGUGCUACAAUGGAUGGUACAACGAGUUGCGAACUCGCGAGAGUAAGCUAAUCUCUUAAAGCCAUUCUCAGUUCGGAUUGUAGGCUGCAACUCGCCUACAUGAAGUCGGAAUCGCUAGUAAUCGCGGAUCAGCAUGCCGCGGUGAAUACGUUCCCGGGCCUUGUACACACCGCCCGUCACACCAUGAGAGUUUGUAACACCCAAAGUCGGUGGGGUAACCUUUUAGGAACCAGCCGCCUAAGGUGGGACAGAUGAUUAGGGUGAAGUCGUACAAGGGGUAA